GGCCUUCCGAAUCCAUGCCGAGAUUUUAUCAGGCACCAGAUCAUCAGUACUGAUGAAACUCCCCAGAUGAGUGAAGCG
rfam:Schistosoma mattheei strain Denwood, Zambia genome assembly, scaffold: SMTD_scaffold0003749